UACGGAGGAUGCAAGCGUUAUCCGGAUUCACUGGGUUUAAAGGGUGCGUAGGUGGGAAUGUAAGUCAGUGGUGAAAUCUCUGAGCUUAACUCAGAAACUGCCAUUGAUACUAUGUUUCUUGAAUUUUCUGGAGGUCAGCGGAAUAUGUCAUGUAGCGGUGAAAUGCUUAGAUAUGACAUAGAACACCAAUUGCGAAGGCAGCUGGCUACAGGGAUAUUGACACUGAGGCACGAAAGCGUGGGGAUCAAACAGG
rnacentral:rRNA from 1 species